rnacentral:tRNA from 1 species
UUGGGGAUGCUGCUCAGUGGUAGACCACUUGCCUAACAUGCAGGAGACCCUAGGUUCAAUCCAGUUCUGAAU